rnacentral:tRNA from 1 species
UCCCUGGUGGUCCAGUGGCCAAGAUUCUGAGCUCCCAAUACAUGGGUCCCAGGUUCAAUCCCUGAUCAGGGAA